rnacentral:rRNA from 1 species
GACGAACGCUGGCGGCGUGCUUAACACAUGCAAGUCGAACGAAGAGGCGCACGGGUGAGUAUUAUGUGAGUAACCUGCCCUCCUUUUUGGGAUAAGCCAUUGAAACGGGGUCUAAUACCGAAUAAAGGGGGAUGGGCUCGCGGCCUAUCGGCUUGUUGGUGGGGUGACGGCCUACCAAGGCGGUGCCGGGUAGCCGGCCUGUGAGGGUGACCUGGGACAUUGAGACGGGGCUACGGCCCAGGUGCCUACGGGAGGGAGCAGUGGGGGAUAUUGCACAAAGGGCGAAGGCGUAAUGCAGCGACGCUGCGUGGGGGCUGAAGGCUUUCGGGUUGUAAACCUCUUGCGGUAUGGAACGGGUAGGUGGAGAAGAAGCGCCGGCUAACUACGUGCCAGCAGCCGCGGUAAUAC